rnacentral:rRNA from 1 species
CCUACGGGUGGCAGCAGUGAGGAAUAUUGGUCAAUGGGCGCGAGCCUGAACCAGCCAAGUAGCGUGAAGGAUGCCUGCCCUACGGGUUGUAAACUUCUUUUAUAAAGGAAUAAAGUGCGGCACGUGUGCCUUUUUGUAUGGACUUUAUGAAUAAGGAUCGGCUAACUCCGUGCCAGCAGCCGCGGUAAUACGGAGGAUCCGGGCGUUAUCCGGAUUUAUUGGGUUUAACGGGAGCGUCGAUGGUUUGUUAAGUCAGUUGUGAAAGUUUGCGGCUCAACCGUAAAAUUGCAAUUGAUACUGGCAGGCUUGAGUACAGUGGAGGUAGGCGGAAUUCGUGGUGUAGCGGUGAAAUGCUUAGAUAUCACGAAGAACUCCGAUUGCGAAGGCAGCUUACUAAACUGCCACUGACAUUGAGGCUCGAAAGUGUGGGUAUCAAACAGGAUUAGAUACCCUUGUAGUC